AAUAUCACAGCCUGGCAAUGAACAGUAUUAUACAAUCCAUCUUUCCUCCUGGAGUUUUUAUUUCAGAUGGGUAAGUUGAUACAGGUGGGAUUGCUGGGUUAACAGAAAUGCGCCCUUGAAGUUUCAGUAGAGGCUGCCAUGUUUUCUCUUCUUGUUAAAUCUUAGUUAUUCAUCAUGUAUCCGCGAGGGUGGAUGAUCCCAGUUUAUUAGCCAGUCCCCUCUCGUAGAACACUGGAGUCGUUUCUCAUGUGUUACCGUUACAUGCCAUGUUUCCAAAUCUUAUUUUAACCUGGUGGAUCUCAAUUUGGGGGGGGGGGCGCGGAUUUUGUCGCUCAGGGACAUUUGGCAAUGUCUGGAGACGUUUCUGGUUGUCAUGACUGGGGGGUGGGUGCUCCUGCCAUCUAGUGGACAGAAAUUAAAUUCCCUGAGUGCACAGGGGGGACCCAUAACAAAGAAUGAUCCGGCCCCAAAAGUCCACAGUCCCUACACCCAAUUCCAUUCAGCCCUUUGGGGACAGAAGUCUCUAGAAGAGUCUUCUUCGUGGCAUGAGUGAAAUUUCCUUUGCUAUGAAAUGUCUCUGAUUCAAACGUAGAUUCUCAGGCUCUGCCUCCAGACUGAAGGGGUCAGAAGCUUGGAGGUGGUGCCUGAGAACAUGAGUUUUCUUUCGAUGCCCCCAUCCAGUUACCUAACUCUGAUCUCCCCUUUGCUCUCUGCACAUCCGGGAGAACCGCAUCCUUCCUUCCAGAACAUUCCUACAGGAAUGACUCCACAGAACUGGCUCACCGGGGCAACUGAGGCACCCCACGCUCACAGAAGGCGGAGAGUCGGGAGGUCCUUGAAACCUCCAACUUGGGGCACACACCCUGUCUCUGUGAUUCAGGAAUAAGAUGCUACCUUUGCCUCCAUCACAACUGCUUUUCAGUGCCCUCCAAGCUUGUCACUGAACAAGGGAAUUUGGAUUCCAAAAUAUCAGAUGCUUCCAUGCCCUGCCGCCGGCAGAGGGAAGAGGAAGCGAAACCAAGACAGCUCCGGUUUCUUCUGCCAUCCAAACCGCCCCCAGGUCACCUCUGGCCGGUGGACCGGAGCACAGGCACAACUGCAGGGACUUCUUCCAGCGUGGUUGCGGCUUUGCAGCUUCUGCCCAGAAAGGGGUUGGGUGGGAGUGGGUGCUGAUAUCAACCCACCACUCCCCCUCGUUUAUGACUGUACGUUGUGGUGAUGGUAAGAAUGAUUGUGUAAUUGCAGGCUGCGUAAUCAUAGCAACCAUUCCAUGUAAUUGCAGGGUUAGGAGCAGAAUAAUUAUAAUGCAAUAUAACAAAUUAUGGAAUGAAAUGUAAUCUUACGUAGGUUAUGAAUCACAAAAUUGUGUUACAACCUCCAG
rnacentral:lncRNA from 1 species